rnacentral:rRNA from 1 species
GUAGGUGGCAAGCGUUGUCCGGAAUUAUUGGGCGUAAAGCGCGCGCAGGUGGUUCUUUAAGUCUGAUGUGAAAGCCCCCGGGCUCAACCGGGGAGGGUCAUUGGAAACUGGGGAACUUGAGUGCAGGAGAGGAAAGUGGAAUUCCACGUGUAGCGGUGAAAUGCGUAGAUAUGUGGAGGAACACCAGUGGCGAAGGCGACUUUCUGGCCUGUAACUGACACUGAGGCGCGAAAGCGUGGGGAGCAAACAGGAUUAGAUACCCUGGUAGUCCUUGCCGUAAACGAUGAGUGCUAAGUGUUGGGGGGUUUCCGCCCCUCAGUGCUGCAGCUAACGCAUUAAGCACUCCGCCUGGGGAGUACGGUCGCAAAGACUG